UGUUGUGGAUUAUUUUCUACAGCACAAAUUCAGAAGUCGUAGUAAAGUUGGUAUGAGGUGCCAGCCAGCCUCGGGACGUCGUUGUAAACCAAACUUCUGGUAAAAAAAAAUACAGUAAUUACUGGUUCAGGAUACCCAAACUGACAGGACAUGUAAUGGCCACCCGAGGACAACAGUCCUGCUGACAUGGAGCUCUGUGGAUGCAUAGACAAGCUUCUCCAGAGUCUUCAUUGCUGCUUCCUGCUGGGCCAUCAUUAGCUGUAGAUGUAACACAACGUUAGGAUUACAACUGUAGAAGUGACCAUAUUUGAGCGAGAGGCUGGAGCUGUGAAGAAACGAGGGGUGGACCUGACUGAGAAGCAAAGGAC